rnacentral:rRNA from 1 species
CCUACGGGUGGCAGCAGUGGGGAAUAUUGCACAAUGGGCGCAAGCCUGAUGCAGCCAUGCCGCGUGUGUGAAGAAGGCCUUCGGGUUGUAAAGCACUUUCAGCGGGGAGGAAGGCGUUAAGGUUAAUAACCUUGUCGAUUGACGUUACCCGCAGAAGAAGCACCGGCUAACUCCGUGCCAGCAGCCGCGGUAAUACGGAGGGUACAAGCGUUAAUCGGAAUUACUGGGCGUAAAGCGCACGCAGGCGGUCUGUCAAGUCGGAUGUGAAAUCCCCGGGCUCAACCUGGGAACUGCAUUCGAAACUGGCAGGCUAGAGUCUUGUAGAGGGGGGUAGAAUUCCAGGUGUAGCGGUGAAAUGCGUAGAGAUCUGGAGGAAUACCGGUGGCGAAGGCGGCCCCCUGGACAAAGACUGACGCUCAGGUGCGAAAGCGUGGGGAGCAAACAGGAUUAGAUACCCGGGUAGUC